CAGCAUUCCUCGGCCGUGAUGUGCUUACAGAACCAUCUGCCCAUCCUCUACCCCACACCUAUUUAUGCAGUGCGGUGCAUAACUUCCAGAGUGGCAGAAAGGCUGACAUACCAAAAACCAAUUACAGUGAAGGAGAUGCCUGCUCGUGAUGGGGCAGGACGAAGACCCCAUGGGGCCCAGAGCAGGCGCGGUGCCUUGGCUUGGAGGUAUUCCAGAAUGUUUACAGCAGCAAAGCGAAAUUUAAACUGAGGCCAAAAGAGUGAAUAUAAGUCGUCGUCUAAGACAAAGCACUUUGUCUUCCCCUGGCCCUCAGUUUCAUCAUCUUUGAACCAGAGAAUGCAGACUUCAUGGUCUGUAAACGUUUUCCAGGAGUUUUAUAGUUUUUUGUACAGUGUCACAAAGGACGCCAAACAGCCAAAAUAAUCUUGAGAUGGAGGAACAAAAUAGAAAGCAUCAUUCUUCCUGAAUUCAAAACAUAUUCAGAGCUACAGUAAUUAAAACAGUGUGGUACUAGCCUCAAGACAGAUGUAUAGACCAAUGGAACAGAAUAGAGAAUCCAGAAAUAAACCUUUGUGUGUUUGAUCAAAUGAUCUUUGACAAGAGUGCCAAGACCAUACAAUGGGCAAAGGACAGUCUUCCACAAAUGGAGUAGGGAAAACUAAUAACCACAUGAAAAAGAACAAAACUGGACCUUUAUCUUUUACCAUGAACAAAAGUCAACUCAAAAUGGAUUGAAGACUUAAAUGUAAGGCCUGAAACUAUAAAACUCUUAGAAGAAACCACUGUUUUUUUAAAAAAAUAGAGCAAGAUUGCUGAGUCUGUCAUUCUUUGAGAUUAGGGACCAUAUUUAUUAUUUCUGUACUGUACCCAACUUAGAAGGGUGCCAACAGCAUCACAGGUAUUCAUAGAAAUUGACUGAUAAAGAAUUCAUAAGAAAUUGAUCUGGUUUAAAUUGAACAACCAGACUUCAAUACAGUAACAUCUAGUGGGACUUCUGAUCAUUCCCCUAGUUACAGGAAAGUUAUGGUGAUGGUAGUGUUUCUUUAUUCUCAUAUUUAACAUACUGUCUAGCUUACCUCUGCAAAUACUAGAGAAUGUUAGUAUUUGUA